rnacentral:rRNA from 1 species
GACGAACGCUGGCGGCGUGCUUAACACAUGCAAGUCGAACGAUGAAGCCGGAGCUUGCUCUGGUGAAUUAGUGGCGAACGGGUGAGUAACACGUGAGUAACCUGCCCUUGACUCUGGGAUAACUGCUAGAAAUGGUAGCUAAUACCGGAUACGACCCUCGGAGGCAUCUUCAGGGGGUGGAAAGAAUUUCGGUCAAGGAUGGACUCGCGGCCUAUCAGCUAGUUGGUGAGGUAAUGGCUCACCAAGGCGACGACGGGUAGCCGACCUGAGAGGGUGACCGGCCACACUGGGACUGCGACACGGCCCAGAGUCCUACGGGAGGCAGCAGUGGGGAAUAUUGCACAAUGGGCGCAAGCCUGAUGCAGCAACGCCGCGUGAGGGAUGACGGCCUUCGGGUUGUAAACCUCUUUUAGUAGGGAAGAAGCGAAAGUGACGGUACCUGCAGAAAAAGCACCGGCUAACUACGUGCCAGCCGCCGCGGUAA